CACUUGAAGAGGCAAAGUGGAAGGAGACAAACCUUGGGACAGAAGAGAAACCAAGGGGAAAAGAAGCCUCCAAGGAAGCCUAGUGAUGACUCUGAAGAGAAAUAAAGGGGGCUACAAGUGCCAUCGAUGUGGCAGUACACAACACUUUAUUCAGGACUGUCCAUUCAGAGGAUGGGGAGCAACAAAAGAAGCUAGGUCUUAUUUUGUAAAUGGAGAGACUGAUAUAAUCUGCCCUGCUAACUGUGAUGGCCAGUCAUGACCACGUCCACGGCUGCAGACCACGGCUGAACUAGAGAAACAGAAGUGGGAGGCCAGAGGAGAGGAGCUCGAU
rnacentral:lncRNA from 1 species